UAAUACGUAGGUGGCAAGCGUUGUCCGGAAUUAUUGGGCGUAAAGCGCGCGCAGGUGGUUUCUUAAGUCUGAUGUGAAAGCCCACGGCUCAACCGUGGAGGGUCAUUGGAAACUGGGGAACUUGAGUGCAGAAGAGGAAAGUGGAAUUCCACGUGUAGCGGUGAAAUGCGUAGAGAUGUGGAGGAACACCAGUGGCGAAGGCGACUUUCUGGUCUGUAACUGACACUGAGGCGCGAAGGCGUGGGGAGCGAACGG
rnacentral:rRNA from 1 species